UACGUAGGGGGCCAGCGUUGUCCGGAUUCAUUGGGCGUAAAGCGCGCGCAGGCGGUUCGCGGCGUCGCUCGUGAAAGCCCCCGGCUUAACCGGGGAGGGACGGGCGAAACGGGCGGACUUGAGGCCGGUAGGGGGAAGCGGAAUUCCCGGUGUAGUGGUGGAAUGCGUAGAGAUCGGGAGGAACACCAGUGGCGAAGGCGGCUUCCUGGGCCGAGCCUGACGCUGAGGCGCGAAAGCGUGGGGAGCGAUCCGG
rnacentral:rRNA from 1 species